rnacentral:tRNA from 1 species
GCGAAGGUGGCGGAAUUGGUAGACGCGCUAGUUCAGGUGUUAGUGUCCUUACGGACGUGGGGGUUCAAGUCCCCCCCCUCGCACCA